UUUUUUUUUUUUUUUCUAAUUUUUUUAUUCAGUUUUAACACCAAUGAUAAAAAUUAAAAAAAAAAGGCUCUCUCUAAUUUUAGAGAGAUAAAUUUGAUGGUAAUUCUGCUUGGGCGUUGUCUGUGUGUGUUUGUGCAACUUCAGCUUGGGUUUGGGAUCCAUCUUUGUACUUGCACCUUGGCCAUGUACUUUUAUUUGCUAUCUAAUAAAAUCUCUCUUUGGCAAAAAAAAAAAAAAA
rnacentral:misc_RNA from 1 species